rnacentral:rRNA from 1 species
CCUACGGGAGACAGCAGUGAGGAAUAUUGGGCAAUGGACGAGAGUCUGAACCAGCCAAGCAGCGUGAAGGAUGACUGCCCUAUGGGUUGUAAACUUCUUUUAUAUGGGAGUAAAAUGUUCCACGUGUGGGAUUUUGUAUGUACCAUAUGACUAAGGAUCGGCUAACUCCGUGCCAGCAGCCGCGGUAAUACGGAGGGUCAGAGCGUUAUCCGGAUUUAUUGGGUCUAAAGGGAGCGUAGGUGGAUUGUUAAGUCAGAUGUGAAAGUUUGCGGCUCAACCGUAAAAUUGCAGUUGAAACUGGCAGUCUUGAGUAUAGUAGAGGGGGGUGGAAUUCGUGGUGUAGCGGUGAAAUGCUUAGAUAUCACGAAGAACACCGAUGGCGAAGGCAGCUCACUGGACUGAAACUGACACUGAGGCUCGAAAGUGUGGGUAGCAAACAGGAUUAGAUACCCCUGUAGUC